GGGAAGAUAUCUUCAUGGAAGGUGACAUGACGCGAGACGAAGAUUUUAGACGUUGAGGAAUCAAAGCAUAGAUAUGCGCUUUGAGUAGAUGAGUAGCUGAAGAGGACACAGGCACGCGAUCUGGGUUCCAUUUUGUGUGAGGUGUAAGGACGAAGCCAAGGGAAGUAUUGACAGCCGAAGACACGCAGUUUGGCAAGGUUGGGGCGCCUAUGGAAGAGAGACUCAAAGGAGGAGAGCAUCGAGAGAUUUGUCUUGGGAAGACGAUUNNNNNNNNNNNNUGGCAAGGUUGGGGCGCCUAUGGAAGAGAGACUCAAAGGAGGAGAUCAUCGAGAGAUUUGUCUUGGGAAGACGAUUAAUGAGAUAGACU
rnacentral:lncRNA from 1 species